AGCGGCCGAUGUCGGAUUAGCUAGUAGGUGAGGUAAAGGCUCACCUAGGCGACGAUCCGUAGCGGGUCUGAGAGGAUGAUCCGCCACACUGGGACUGAGACACGGCCCAGACUCCUACGGGAGGCAGCAGUGGGGAAUUUUGGACAAUGGGCGCAAGCCUGAUCCAGCCAUGCCGCGUGAGUGAAGAAGGCCUUCGGGUUGUAAAGCUCUUUCGGCCGGGAAGAAAUCGUGGUCUCUAACAUAGGCCAUGGAUGACGGUACCGGACUAAGAAGCACCGGCUAACUACGUGCCAGCAGCCGCGGUAAUACGUAGGGUGCGAGCGUUAAUCGGAAUUACUGGGCGUAAAGCGUGCGCAGGCGGUUUUGUAAGACAGAUGUGAAAUCCCCGGGCUUAACCUGGGAACUGCGUUUGUGACUGCAAGGCUAGAGUACGGCAGAGGGGGGUGGAAUUCCUGGUGUAGCAGUGAAAUGCGUAGAGAUCAGGAGGAACACCGAUGGCGAAGGC
rnacentral:rRNA from 1 species